UCUAUUUUUUUUGGGCCAGGACCCAAUUGCCCAGCCCAUUCCAGGGUCGACCCAGACCCCUCAGCCGACCUAGAUCUGACCCAAUUCCCUCAAUCCCCCUUUAACAAAUAACAGCAGACCAACAACAACUUGAAUCCAGCUUCAACAACCGACAACUUCAACUCUCAACAUAAAACACAACACCAAUACUCCAAUAUCAAAAUAAAAAAAAAUUAACGCGAAACAACAACAACCAAUGCAUCAAUAACAGUAAUUUCAAAACAACAGUAAAUCAAGUCAACAAAGACAACUAUUAAUCUGGAUUUUCUCAAAAUCGUUCGAUCUGAUAUGAACACGGACGAUCAUGAUUAUUCAUUUUUAAAUUUCAAAUUUUUCAUCCUCAAUUUCUUAUUUGUUUCCUCCUUAAAAUCAGUCCAAAACCUCCUAUAAGUACCCAUUGAAGAACAAAAGGGAGGGAGGAGGAUUUUGAGCAAAAAUUUGAGGAUUCGGGAGGUGCGUGCUUCUAAUCCUACACAAUCAAAAAUCCUAAAAGAAAUAGACUCAAAAACUCGAUUAAAAAAGAUUAAACUCUGAAGGAUCGGGAUUCAAACUCCGGUGGUGAAAGUCCAUCGCCAAGGUUCGUUUGUCCUAGUUUGCUGCCCUAAAAAAGGUCGUAGAUGAUAAGUGGUAGAUGAAUGUCGGUCGGCUUUGGAAAUUUUUUUUAGUUUACAGGUGGUAAAUGACGAUCGACUUUGAGAAUUUUUUUGGUAAAG